rnacentral:rRNA from 1 species
AGUGAACGCUGGCGGUAGGCCUAACACAUGCAAGUCGAACGGCAGCACAGGAGAGCUUGCCCUCUGGGUGGCGAGUGGCGGACGGGUGGGGAAUACAUCGGAAUCUACUCUGUCGUGGGGGAUAACGUAGGGAAACUUACGCUAAUACCGCAUACGACCUACGGGUGAAAGCAGGGGACCUUCGGGCCUUGCGCUAUUGAAUGAGCCGAUGUCGGAUUAGCUAGUUGGCGGGGUAAAGGCACACAAAGGCGACGAUCCGUAGCUGGUCUGAGAGGAUGAUCAGCCACACUGGAACUGAGACACGGUCCAGACUCCUACGGGAGGAAGCAGUGGGGAAUAUUGGACAAUGGGCGCAAGCCUGAUCCAGCCAUACCGCGUGGGUGAAGAAGGCCUUCGGGUUGUAAAGCCCUUUGUUGGGAAAGAAAUCCAGCUGGCUAAUACCCGGUUGGGAUGACGGUACCCAAAGAAUAAGCACCGGCUAACUUCGUGCCAGCCGCCGCCGUAA